GAUGAACGCUGGCGGCGUGCCUAAUACAUGCAAGUCGAGCGAACAGACGAGGAGCUUGCUCCUCUGACGUUAGCGGCGGACGGGUGAGUAACACGUGGAUAACCUACCUAUAAUACUGGGAUAACUUCGGGAAACCGGAUCUAAUACCGGAUAAUAUAUUGAACCGCAUGGUUCAAUAGUGAAAGACGGUUUUGCUGUCACUUAUAGAUGGAUCCGCGCCGCAUUAGCUAGUUGGUAAGGUAACGGCUUACCAAGGCGACGAUGCGUAGCCGACCUGAGAGGGUGAUCAGCCACACUGGAACUGAGACACGGUCCAGACUCCUACGGGAGGCAGCAGUAGGGAAUCUUCCGCAAUGGGCGAAAGCCUGACGGAGCAACGCCGCGUGAGUGAUGAAGGUCUUCGGAUCGUAAAACUCUGUUAUUAGGGAAGAACAAAUGUGUAAGUAACUAUGCACGUCUUGACGGUACCUAAUCAGAAAGCCACGGCUAACUACGUG
rnacentral:rRNA from 1 species